rnacentral:tRNA from 1 species
GCCGCUGUUAGUGCGCGUAAGAAUCGACAACGUGCACUUCUCCUCGCAAGGGGAGAGGUGGUAUCCGAGUUCGAGUCUCGGCAGCAGCA